rnacentral:rRNA from 1 species
AUGGGGGCUUCCGAGUCUCUCCCGGCCAGGCAGCCGCCGCAGCAGCAGCGACCGCAGUGGGCGGACGAGAUCACGACGGUAUCCGACGGCCGGCGCGACGCCGCGAACGAAGACCCUCUCCUCCGCCGCAUCCGGUCACUUACCAUCGCCCCGCCGCUGUUGAGCGGUCAGCCAGCGGCGGGCUCGGAGACGGAGACCAGCUUCACUGAUAUUCUUGUACGGAAACCCUCCGGCUCCUCCUCGGCGGCCUCUGGCAAUUUGAGUCCAAAUCUGAUGUUUGAGCUUUUCGCUAUGUACCGUGAAUGGCAAGAAGAGAUGGCCAAGGAAAUCAGUGGAAGACAGGGAGAGCUAGAAAAUAAGAUAGAAACGGCAGAUGCAUUGGCUGUUAAACUUCUCCAGCGGUUCAAUUACUCUGUUUCUUCGAUGAGAUCAACCUCUCACAAUCUUGCUGAAGUUCAUCCACUGCAGGUGGAAGUUGGUGAAUUGAAGGGCAGGUUAACUGAAGUAAUAAGUAACUGUGAUGCAUUGUGCAAGAGGAUUACUGCAGAAGGGCCAGAAAGUUUGCGAACGUCCGUUGAACCUUUCACCACUGGCAUACUGGGGACGGGAGGUGGAUCCCCUGGCCCAAAAGAGCAACCCUGA